rnacentral:lncRNA from 1 species
GGCCACAUCUAUGGCAUAUGGAAGUUCCCAGGCCAGGGGUUGAAUCCGAGCUGCAACUGCUGGCCUACACCAGAAGUGUGGCCUACACAGUCACAGCAACUCGGGAUCUGAGCCAUGGCUGUGACCUACACCCCAUAGCUCACAGCAAAGCCUGAUCCUUAACCCACUGGGUGAGGCCAGGGAUUGAACCCUUGCCAGGUCUUGAUGGAUACUAGUCGGGUUCGUUACUGCUGAGCCAUAACGGGAACUCCCAUAGGUUCUUGAAAAGGUUAUAGAAGCAAUACCACGCCUAACACUUAGGACUUCAGUUCCUGAAUUACUCAACUGAAUGUUGACUGAAUACUGAAUCAUUCAAUUUUUGAAUAAAUAUUCAAAGAGUAACUGGUACUACAGAGAUACCCUUUUAUAAAGCAAGUUGCUCAUGCAACUGGUUUGACUCUAGUCACUUGAAUCAUCUUCUUUUUCUACUAUAUAAUGAUUUUUAUUGUUUUCCACUAUAGCUGGUUUACAGUGUUUUGUCAAUUUUCUUUCAUUGUCCUCACUGCUCUGGUCUGCCUGAUUGAGGAAUUCAUCUCAAAGACUCCACGGGGCACUUUCUACCCAUGACUUCAUCAUGAUAAUAGGAAGUAGUAGUUAUUAAUCGAAACCUCAAAACAUGAAAUAAACUUUAUAUAGUUUACUACCCAUCAAACUUAAAGACAUAAGUUAUGUGUAUAUGUAAUUCAUAGGUAGGCAUAAGCAUAGCAUAGUCCCUAAUUCCAGUCCUUUCCAGAUUAAAAUUCAGGAAGGUGAGGGGAAUAUAAUUUGAUCUGGUGUUGACUUUCCUCUUCUUUUUUUAAAAAAUCUUUUUAAAGAAUUUCAUCUGGAGUUCCCGUCGUGGCGCAGUGGUUAACGAAUCCGACUAGGAACCAUGAGGUUGCGGGUUCGAUCCCUGCCCUUGCUCAGUGGGUUAAGGAUCCAGCGUUGUCGGGAGCUGUGGUGUAGGUCACAGAUGUGGCUCGGAUCCUGCGUUGCCGUGGCUCUGCUGCCCUUGGCUUUCGGUGUGAUAAUUCACCCAGAUGGAAGGUGUCAUAAAGAAGGGCUUCAGAGAGGCCAUUCCAUUUCAGUAGAACCUUGAAAUAUGGCAGGUAGACCAUAUGGGGGUGGGGAGGGCAUUCCAGGAGCAGGGAAAAACCUGAAAGUGUUUCGAAUACAUCUUGUUCUCACCUAUCUGCUGAGCAGGAAAGGCUGUUUGGAGGCAGGUGCUACAGAUAAGUAUGGACAGGGAGCCAGAUUAUGACGAGCCUCACAUACCAUGCUAAAGAGCAAGGACCCCCUAGCAGGUGAAGGGGUACAGUGGUGAGGAGCCACAGGCCUGAGCAGGUGGCUUUACACUGCAGUUCAUGCUCUACUUGCCUUGCAGCAGCUAAGCAGCUAAUGGACUGCGACUCAGCAGUAAGGAAGUAUCAGCCCUUCACCACCUCCACUUCUUCCUCCACACACUGAAGUCCCUUGUGCUCCGUCAACCCCUUCUACCCCUAGCUACUGCAUCUGUGCAUUCUUCUCUUUCAUGCAGGCCUCUCACCCUGCAGUGCUUAUUUGUUCAUGUGCAUGUGUCCCCCACAAGAGCUUGAGUGUCUUGAGGGCCAGGACAGGACUGCACUCACUUUCCUAUGCUCAGGAUUUAGCCCAGCGCCUAGCAGAACGUAGGCACU